UCAGACCCGGACAGAAGUUAAAAAGCCGUGUCGAAAACGCAACGCCCAAAGCAGAGUAAUUGAACUAACUAAAAAGGCCGCUGAUGCGGCCUUUUUUCUUUGCUCUCUCGCAUAUCCGCCGUAAAAUCAAUGACAUCUCCCACAUGAAAACAAAAC
rnacentral:sRNA from 1 species